rnacentral:rRNA from 2 species
UAGCGGUGAAAUGCGUAGAGAUGUGGAGGAACACCAGUGGCGAAGGCGGCUUUUUGGUCUGUAACUGACGCUGAGGCGCGAAAGCGUGGGGAGCAAACAGGAUUAGAUACCCUGGUAGUCCACGCCGUAAACGAUGAGUGCUAAGUGUUAGAGGGUUUCCGCCCUUUAUUGCUGCAGCUAACGCAUUAAUCACUCCGCCUGGGGAGUACGGUCGCAAGACUGAAACUCAAAGGAAUUGACGGGGGCCCGCACAAGCGGUGGAGCAUGUGGUUUAAUUCAAAGCAACGCGAAGAACCUUACCAGGUCUUGACAUCCUCUGACAACUCUAGAGAUAGAUCGUUCCCCUUCGGGGUACAGAGUGACAGGUGGUGCAUGGUUGUCGUCAGCUCGUGUCGUGAGAUGUUGUGUUAACUCCCGCAACGAGCGCAACCCUUGAUCUUAGUUGCCAGCAUUUAGUUGGGCACUCUAAGGUGACUGCCGGUGACAAACC